GAUGAACGCUGGCGGCGUGCCUAAUACAUGCAAGUCGAGCGAACGGACGAGAAGCUUGCUCCUCUGACGUUAGCGGCGGACGGGUGAGUAACACGUGGAUAACCUACCUAUAAGACUGGGAUAACUUCGGGAAACCGUAGCUAAUACCGGAUAAUAUUUUGAACCGCAUGGUUCAAUAGUGAAAGACGGUUUUGCUGUCACUUAUAGAUGGAUCCGCGCUGCAUUAGCUAGUUGGUAAGGUAACGGCUUACCAAGGCAACGAUGCAUAGCCGACCUGAGAGGGUGAUCGGCCACACUGGAACUGAGACACGGUCCAGACUCCUACGGGAGGCAGCAGUAGGGAAUCUUCCGCAAAGGGCGAAAGCCUGACGGAGCAACGCCGCGUGAGUGAUGAAGGUCUUCGGAUCGUAAAACUCUGUUAUUAGGGAAGAACAUAUGUGUAAGUAACUGUGCACAUCUUGACGGUACCUAAUCAGAAAGCCACGGCUAACUACGUG
rnacentral:rRNA from 1 species